rnacentral:rRNA from 1 species
AAAAGUUAAUAAGGGCGUACAGUGAAUGCCUUGGCACUAUUUGGCGAAGAAGGACGCGACUACCUGCGAAAAGCUACGGGGAAUUGGAAGUAAAUAUUGAUCCGUAGAUAUCCGAAUGGGGGAACCCAUCAUCAAUCAAAUGAUGAUAUCUUAAAAUGAAUACAAAGUUUUAAAGAAGUUAGACCUAGGGAAUUGAAACAUCUAAGUACCUAGAGGAGAAGAAAGAUUUAAUCGAUUCCGUAAGUAGCGGCGAGCGAAAGCGGAGGAGCCCAAACCAACGCGAGUUGGGGUUUAGGACUACGAUAGAGAGGAUUUAUUCGAGAAGAAUGGCUUGGGAAAGCCAACCAAAGAGAGUGAGAGUCUCGUAUUUAUAGGAGUGAAUCAAUCAAGUAGCACCAGAGUACGGCGAGGCACGUGGAACCUUGUCUGAAGAUGCGCAGACCACUGCGUAAGGCUAAAUACACAAUAGUGACCGAUAGUGAACCAGUACCGUGAGGGAAAGGUGAAAAGAACCCCGGGAGGGGAGUGAAAAGAAUCUGAAACCGUAUGCUUACAAAAAGUCAGAGGGCGUUAAAGCCUGAUGACGUGCCUAUUGAAGAAUGAGCCGGCGAGUUAUGUUAUCGUGCGAGGUUAAGUCGAAGAGACGGAGCCGAAGCGAAAGCGAGUCUAAAGAGGGCUACAGUACGAUGACAUAGACCCGAAACCCGACGAUCUAGCCAUGAGCAGGAUGAAGGUGGGGUACAACCCACUGGAGGUCCGAACCGACGUUCGUUGAAACGCCCGCGGAUGACUUGUGGCUCGCGGUGAAAUUCCAAUCGAGUUGGGUUAUAGCUGGUUCUCCCCGAAAUAGCUUUAGGGCUAGCCUCAGGGUUAGCUACUUGCUGGUAGAGCACUGAAUGAUAGAUGGCCGCGUCUAGCGGUACUGAUAUCAAUCAAACUCCGAAUAGUGAGAUAGUAUACCUGGGAGUCAGUCUGUGGGAGAUAAGUUCCAUGGACAAGAGGAAAAGAGUCCAGACCGCCAAAUAAGGUCCCAAAAUCUAUACUAAGUGUAAAAGGAUGUAGAGAUGCAUAGACAACUAGGAUGUUGGCUCAGAAGCAGCCAUCAUUUAAAGAGUGCGUAACAGCUCACUAGUCGAGUGCCUCCGCGCCGAAAAUUUACCGGGGCUAAGUAUAGUACCGAAGUUGCGGAUUUGAGAAAAUGGUAGGGGAGCGUUCCAUCAUCGGCGAAGCGAUACCGAAAGGAGUCGUGGAGAGGAUGGAAGUGAGAAUGCCGGUGUAAGUAACGAUAUUGGGUGAGAAUCCCAAUCACCAUUAGACUAAGGUUUCCUGGGGAAGGUUCGUCCGCCCAGGGUAAGUCGGGACCUAAGGCGAGGCUGAGAAGCGUAGCCGAUGGACGACAGGUUGAUAUUCCUGUACCCGUAUAUAAGUGAAGUAAUGACAGAGAAGGCUAGAUCGGCUACCUACUGGAUGGUAGUACAAGCGAGAUAGCAGGUGCAAAGGCAAAUCCGUGCACAGAAUGCAAGGCGUGAAGUGGAGCGAACGAGCAAUCAAGUAGCGAAGCGAUUGAUGCCAGCUUUCAAGAAAAGUUGCUAACGUAAUUAUAUGCGGCCCGUACCGAGAACGGACACACGUGGUCAAGGAGAGUAUCCUAAGGUGAGCGAGUGAACUGUUGUUAAGGAACUCUGCAAAAUUACUUCGUAAGUUCGCAAGAAGAAGUGCUACAGCGAUGUAGCCGCAGUGAAGAGGCCCAAGUAACUGUUUAACAAAAACACAGCUUUAUGCUAAGUCGUAAGACGAUGUAUAUGAGGUGAUGCCUGCCCAGUGCUGGAAGGUUAAAAGGAGAUGUGCAAGCAUUGAUCUGAAGCCCCAGUGAACGGCGGCCGUAACUAUAACGGUCCUAAGGUAGCGAAAUUCCUUGUCGGGUAAGUUCCGACGCGCAUGAAUGGUAUAAUAAUUUGGGCGCUGUCUCGACAGCAGACUCGGUGAAAUCUUAAUACCGGUGAAGAUGCCGGUUACCCGCGACUAGACGGAAAGACCCCAUGGAGCUUUACUAUAGCUUAAUAUUGAAUAGUUGAAAAUCCUGUACAGGAUAGGUAGGAGACAAAGAAGUUUGUGCGUCAGCAUGAAUGGAGUCAACGGUGGGAUACUACUCUUGAUUUUCGAUUGUUCUAACUUAGAAUCAAAACGGGUUCGAGGACAGUGUUAGGUGGGUAGUUUGACUGGGGCGGUCGCCUCCUAAAGAGUAACGGAGGC